rnacentral:rRNA from 1 species
UACGAAGGGGGCUAGCGUUGCUCGGAAUCACUGGGCGUAAAGCGCACGUAGGCGGAUUGCUAAGUCAGGGGUGAAAUCCUGGAGCUCAACUCCAGAACUGCCUUUGAUACUGGCAAGCUUGAGUCCGGGAGAGGUGAGUGGAACUGCGAGUGUAGAGGUGAAAUUCGUAGAUAUUCGCAAGAACACCAGUGGCGAAGGCGGCUCACUGGCCCGGUACUGACGCUGAGGUGCGAAAGCGUGGGGAGCAAACAGG